rnacentral:lncRNA from 1 species
GAACAAAUUCCUCAAGAAAGCCUGAUACCUGGGAGGCACUAAACGAACAUUAGUGACUAGCUGUUGAAUUUAUUCAACACUGAAUGACUACUCUUUGCAGACUCUGUGUUAAGAGAUGCGAGUAAAGUGGUGAAAACAAGCAAGUCUCUCCCCUUGCGGAAAUCACAUGCAUAAUAAAUGCAUAAACCAAUAAAGAUUGUGUUUACAGAUAGUGUCAAAUGCUAUUUAAAAAUAAUGCAGAUUGAUUAAGGUGGGGAGUAUGAGAAGGUGUGAAGCACGCAAGAAUCUCGGGGCAGAGCAGCCCAGGCAGGGAGAAGAGCAGAGGAGGAAGGAGCUCGGCAGGUGACUGACGGCAGGACACGCCUGCAGGAGUCAAGUGGGACAGGAGACAGCGAAGUCCCAGACACAGCAGGGACCUUGAAGGCUUGGUGGGCUAAUCAAAACUUGGGCUGGAUCCGAAUGAGAGUAGAAGUCAUUGGAAAGAAGGAUUUUAGUAGGAAAAUGAUACCAACUGACUUGCGUUUGGAGAUGGCUCCAACUGCAAUGUGGAGACUGGACGGUCCCGGCAGAGCGGAAGCGGAUGACCAGGCCAGAGCGUUAUGGAACGAGAGCGAAGUCAGCGGAGAAAACCCAUCAUAAUGUUGAGUUAUUUAACACCAUGUGAAUCCUAACUUCCAAAUUAUAAGACAGUUUUUCUAUGCUGUUUAGUAGCAUAGUCUGUAUAUUUCCUUUGGACAACAAAAUUAUUGCCCCCCCCGGGGGAUUUAAAUAUUUCUUAGGAGACCUGAUUGUGAUUUAUACCUAUGGACUCUAAGCAGAAAACUGGCAAGAAAAUAUACAAGAGGAUGACAAUACAAUGUAAUGAGAUGGACGUCAGACUGGGGGUUAGGAGCUGCAGCUCCUGGAACCGGUUCCCCCGCGUUGGGAUGAUGAUGACAUAACCAAGCAAAUCAAAAGGAUAAGAACAAAAAUCACUGGAAUUAUUUCAACAUCGAGAUAA